rnacentral:lncRNA from 1 species
AAUAAAAAUGACCAUCGGAAAAAAAAAGGAAACAAAAGAAAAAAAGAAAUUUGAUGGAAAGAGAAAAAUGGCACUCACCGAAUGAGAAACACUCAGUUGGGUAUAAAAAGAAAAAAAAAAGAACUGAGUAACAGAACUGAAAAAGAAAAGAAUUGGAAAUGAUAUAUAGAACAAACACAGUGAAAAGAAUAAUGACAUUGACUCUGAACCCAAACCACUUGUUUUCCCUUUUGUUUGUAUUUACCCCACUGUAACCCAAGCCCUGUUAC